AACCUUAUGGACCUGCGGGCGUAUACCUGCGGAAGGAUCAUUACUGAGUCACGUGCUCAAACAACCCUUCUGUGGACCUGAAAUAAAACCGUUGCCUCGGCGGGCGGUCCCCCCCAAACCAACCCCACGUGGUGGGUUAGGGGAGACCAGACAGUCCGGUACGCUUAAGGCGUCCGGCGCCAGCCGCUGGCCCCAAACAAUUAAACUCUAGUAAUCUUUACCUUCUGAGUUUCAAUAUUU
rnacentral:misc_RNA from 1 species